rnacentral:rRNA from 1 species
ACGAACGCUGGCGGCGUGCCUAACACAUGCAAGUCGAACGGGACUUAAAUGGAAUGCGACUUCGGUCAAAUGAAAUUAAGUUUAGUGGCGAACGGGUGAGUAACGCGUGAGCAACCUGCCUUUCAGAGGGGGACAACAGUUGGAAACGACUGCUAAUACCGCAUGAUGUGUCGAGACCGCAUGGUCUUGACACCAAAGAUUUUAUCGCUGAAAGAUGAGCUCGCGUCUGAUUAGAUAGUUGGUGAGGUAACGGCUCACCAAGUCGACGAUCAGUAGCCGGACUGAGAGGUUGGACGGCCACAUUGGGACUGAGACACGGCCCAGACUCCUACGGGAGGCAGCAGUGGGGAAUAUUGCACAAUGGGCGCAAGCCUGAUGCAGCGAUGCCGCGUGAGGGAAGAAGGUUUUAGGAUUGUAAACCUCUGUCUUCAGGGACGAUAAUGACGGUACCUGAGGAGGAAGCUCCGGCUAACUACGUG